rnacentral:snoRNA from 1 species
AAGCACUGCCUUUGAACUAGUGGAUGGCCCCUGUUCAUGGUCUCACUGGUUACGCAACAGUGCAAAAACAAUGACUUGCUUAUAACUGGUGUUGCUCAGCUGAACACUGAGUGAUAUUUUUAAGGGCAAGUUACAUUU